rnacentral:tRNA from 1 species
GCACCGGUGGUGUAAAGGCGUAGAGCAUUCCCGCCCGGUUAGAGGGAGGUGCGGGUUCGAGUCCCGNGGGUUCGAGUCCCGCCUGGUGCU